CAUAGGUUAAUGAGGCGAACCGGGGGAACUGAAACAUCUAAGUACCCCGAGGAAAAGAAAUCAACCGAGAUUCCCCCAGUAGCGGCGAGCGAACGGGGAGCAGCCCAGAGCCUGAAUCAGUGUGUGUGUUAGUGGAAGCGUCUGGAAAGGCGCGCGAUACAGGGUGACAGCCCCGUACACAAAAAUGCACAUGCUGUGAGCUCGAUGAGUAGGGCGGGACACGUGGUAUCCUGUCUGAAUAUGGGGGGACCAUCCUCCAAGGCUAAAUACUCCUGACUGACCGAUAGUGAACCAGUACCGUGAGGGAAAGGCGAAAAGAACCCCGGCGAGGGGAGUGAAAAAGAACCUGAAACCGUGUACGUACAAGCAGUGGGAGCCUCUUUAUGGGGUGACUGCGUACCUUUUGUAUAAUGGGUCAGCGACUUAUAUUCUGUAGCAAGGUUAACCGAAUAGGGGAGCCGAAGGGAAACCGAGUCUUAACUGGGCGUUAAGUUGCAGGGUAUAGACCCGAAACCCGGUGAUCUAGCCAUGGGCAGGUUGAAGGUUGGGUAACACUAACUGGAGGACCGAACCGACUAAUGUUGAA
rnacentral:rRNA from 1 species